rnacentral:rRNA from 1 species
UACGAAGGGGGCUAGCGUUGCUCGGAAUUACUGGGCGUAAAGGGCGCGUAGGCGGCCAGUUAAGUCAGAGGUGAAAGCCCAGGGCUCAACCCUGGAAUUGCCUUUGAUACUGGCUGUCUUGAGUACGGAAGAGGUGUGUGGAACUCCGAGUGUAGAGGUGAAAUUCGUAGAUAUUCGGAAGAACACCAGUGGCGAAGGCGACACACUGGCCCGUUACUGACGCUGAGGCGCGAAAGCGUGGGGAGCAAACAGG